rnacentral:rRNA from 1 species
GUCAAUCUCCCCUUAGGAUCAAGAUAACCCCGGGAAACUGGGGAUAAUCUCGAAUAGGCGGGGAUUCUGGAAAGUUCCUCGCUGAAAUGUUUUGCGCCUAAGGAUGAGACUGCGGCCUAUUAGGUUGUUGGUGAGGUAAAGGCUCACCAAGCCACAGAUGGGUACGGGCCCUGAGAGGGGGAGCCCGGAGAUGGGGACUGAGACAAGGCCCCAGGCCCUACGGGGCGCAGCAGGUGCGGAAAUUCUGCAAUGCGUGCAAGCGCGACAGAGUGACUCCCAGUGCCGAUGGUCUAACGACCGUCGGCUUUUCUGGAAUGUAAAAAGUUUCAGGUAAUAAGGGCCGGGUAAGACUGGUGCCAGCCGCCGCGGUAACACCAGCGGCUCGAGUGGUAACCGAUUUUAUUGGGCCUAAAGCGUCCGUAGCCGGACCGACGGGUCCCUUGUGAAAUCGGACGGCUUAACCGUUCGGCUUGCAGGGGAAACUGUUGGUCUUGAGGCUGGUAGGCGCCGAGGGUACUCCGGGGGUAGCAGUGAAAUGCUAUAAUCCUUGGGGGACCGCCAGUGGCGAAAGCGCUCGGCGAGGCCAGACCUGACGGUGAGGGACGAAGGCCAGGGUAGCGAACCGGAUUAGAUACCCGGGUAGUCCUGGCUGCAAAGGAUGUGAGUUAGGUGCUAGGCGCUCCUCGAGAGCGUCCGGUGCCGAAGGGAAGCCAUUAAGCUCACCGCCUGGGAAGUACGGUUGCAAGACUGAAACUUAAAGAAAUUGGCGGGGG